rnacentral:rRNA from 1 species
AUCGAACGCUGGCGGCAGGCCUAACACAUGCAAGUAGAACGAGUGGCGGACGGGUGAGUAAUGUCUGGGAAACUGCCCGCUGGAGGGGGAUAAGGACUGGAAAAGGGAGCUAAUAGCGCAUAACAUAGGAUGAGCCCAGAUGGGAUUAGCUAGUAGGUGGGGUAACGGCUCACCUAGGCGACGAUCCCUAGCUGGUCGGCGAGGAUGACCAGCCACACUGGAACGGAGACACGGUCCAGACUCCUACGGGAGGCAGCAGUGGGGAAUAUUGCACAAUGGGCGCAAGCCUGAUGCAGCCAUGCCGCGUGUAUGAAGAAGGCCUUCGGGUUGUAAAGUACUUUCAGCGAGGAGGCGUUACUCGCAGAAGAAGCACCGGCUAACUCCGUGCCAGCAGCCGCGGUAAUAC